GUGCUUGCUUCGGCAGCACAUAUGCUAAAACUGGAAUGAUACAGAGAAGAUUAGCAUGGCCCCAGCGCACAGAGGACAUGCAAAUUCAUGAAGUGUUCCAUAUUUAA